AUUGGCCACAGGGUCCACUGUGUUAAUGUGGAGGGCGUGGCCUGCAGCCGGGGAUGCUGCGCUGCUGAGAUCUGCCUCAUUGUGCCGCCUCGACCCGGACCGGACCCACCGCGCUGGAUUAAUACCGGAAGCGGCGCCAGGAGGAUUUUCUCUCCGGUUGGGUCCCGUUUCCUUGAGGAGAUUCCCGGAGCGGGUUACCGGGAGCGCGCGCUCCGCUCGGCGAGAAUAACUCUUCUUCUCUUGAUUUGGAUUGUUCUCCGUUCUGAUUGGCUGUCCGGGGAAGCUGCUGCUGAUUGGUCAGACCCGGAUUCAAGUGGCGCCAUGAUACGACCUCUUCUAUCCUCCGAUGCUGAGGGAAGGAGCUCCAAUGCUCCCUCAGCAUCGGAAACACUGCACCACCUUUACCAGGAGACAGGAGAUCAUUCCGUCACACAGUUCUUUGCAGCAGCACUAUUUAAAUAGGGACGUUUCAUUGGUCCGUUUAUGGAGG
ensembl:lncRNA